CAAGAGCGUGGAGCAUGUGGCUUAAUUUGACUCAACGCGGAAAAACUUACCAGGUCCGGACACACNGAGGAUUGACAGACGGUUAACGCCCUUCGGGGCAAGAGACAAAAUUUUUGGCUCUUUCAUGAUUAUGUGAUAGGUGGUGCAUGGCCGUUCUUAGUUCGUGGAGUGAUCUGUCUGCCCAAUCGCGUUUCAUAAAUCUUAAGCUCAGAAGGCAGUCUUACCUNCGGGUUGAGUUUUGCUGGGAGACUUUUGUGUGAACGCNACGGACGUGAUUGCAACCCCUUGUUGAUUGGCCAUCACGUAAGCUCACUUGUAAUUUAUUACAGUGUGGUAUUAUCUUA
rnacentral:rRNA from 1 species